UAAUGGUUCUUGUUUACUCUCUAGGCCACAUCUCCGCACAUUUCAAUCCAGCUGUCACUAUCGCCUUAGCAUCUUGCAAGAGAUUCCCUCUGUAUCAACUCCCAGCUUACUUAAUUGUUCAAGUCAUUGGAUCAACCUUGGCUUCUGCGACUCUGCGUCUUUUGUUUGACCUAAACAAUGACGUGUGCAGCAAGAAACACGAUGUCUUCCUCGGAUCAUCUCCUUCUGGGACUGACCUUCAAGCAUUCGGGAUGGAGUUCAUCAUCACCGGCUUCCUUAUGAUAGUUGUUUGUGCCGUCACUACCUCCAAGAGAACAGUAAGUGAUCAACAGCCAAAAACACUACACACAUUUCUUGAUCAGGUUCUCAAUCUUAACAUAAUAUGAAUCUUGCAGAGUGAGGAGCUAGAGGGGUUAAUCAUCGGCGCAACCGUCACACUGAAUGUUAUCUUUGCCGGGUAAUUUUCGCUUUUUACCUUCUCAAUUUUCACAUGACCGGUUCUAGACACAGUUAGAUGAAACAUUCGCUUUAGUCCUCAAAUUUUAAAUAUAUAUUAUAUAUAAGGCGUAUAGCCUCCAAGUUGUCAAAUAAUAUAUUAAGAUUAAUCUGAAAAUGCUUAUGGUUCUCUAAAUCUCAUAUCUGGUCCUCAAUAUCUGUAAGCUUAACUCUUAUUCAAUGGUAAUUAAUCUCUUUGGCUAACCAAUCCAAUCUUUUGUUUUUACAGAGAGGUAUCAGGAGCAUCAAUGAAUCCAGCAAGAAGCCUAGGGCCUGCACUUGUGUGGGGAUGUUACAAAGGGAUUUGGAUUUACUUGCUGGCUCCAACACUUGGAGCAGUCUUAGCGGCCUUGAUUCAUAAACUGUUACCGGCUACACAGAAAGCAAACUCUGAGUUCUCCAAGACAGGAUCUUCUCAUAAACGAAUUACUGAUCUUCCUUUGUAAUGAUUGUAGAUAAAAUCUUUAAGGUCAAUACUCGUUCUUGUAUCUUUAAAUAUGCUCAAUGGAUUGCAUUGCAAGUAAACAAAUAAAUAAUUGUACAGUAGAACAUAUAUAUAAAUACAGCAAAACUAUUUCCCAAGAAAGCAUGAGAAUGUCAACCAAUACCUAAAAUUUUCUAGAAAGCAUGAGAAUGUCAACCAAUACCUAAAUUUUUCUAGAAGAAAAAUUCUUUUGACAAAAAUUUUUUUAAAAAAGAAGAAAAAUUCUAAAUAUGAUAAAGCUUAAAAGAGGAGACAACACAGUUUCCCAAAAACAGCUUGAUGCCGUCCUGAUGAUGUCUGGCAUAUCCAACGGCGUUACCGGUUUAGUUGGUGCUAGUGCUUAAACUGGACCUGGCUGAUUCAUGAGUUUGUUGUGGGCUUCUCACAGAGUAUUUGGUAUUACUUCCUUAAUCACAGUAACAAUAACGUCACUAAUAUAUGCAUAAAGGCAAAUAUUUGGUCAAUAAAUAGCGGAAGACUUUCACAAAUUUCAAGUCAAACUAAUACUACUACAACAUAGUGGAGGACUUCCACAAUUUCCAAGUCAAGCAAUGUGACUUCAUACUUAUCAGAUAGAGUCAUAGAGAUAUAUAUUGUUAGAACUGAAAAAACCAAACAAUAGAUACCAAUUUCUUCUUUCAUAUAUCUUCCUUUUUAUGAAGUCUUUCUUUCAGAUGAUGAUCUCGCCUUUGGCCGUUUUGCUCACCACUUGUUCCUUUUGGUGCAUCUUUGUGACCAGCGUUUCAAUUUCCGUUCCUCGAGACCAAGUUGAGAUUCUUUUAGCUCUCAAGAAUGAGUUUCCAUCCCGCAACUGCGAUCGCAAAUUGGCCGAUGGGGUCUUACAAUCCCCUAGUGCAAAUAUAACCUCUUGGACCAAAGAUGCCAACUCCUUUGACGGUGUUUCCUUUGAUGAAAAAACCGGCGCCGUGACAGAGCUCAACCUUCGUGGUGCAUGUAUCAAUGGCACCAUCAAGCCUAAUAGUAACCUCUUCAGAUUCCAACACCUCAGGUACCUCUCUCUUUCAAUGAACCACUUUGACACAUCCUCCUUCCACGCCGGAUUUGGCAGACUCACCAACUUAGAAUACUUGGAUCUUAGCCAAAAUAGUUUUAUCGGACAAGUUACAUCCUCAAUCAGUAACCUAAGCCGCUUAAACACCUUAGACCUUUCGUAUAACAAGUUCACCAAUGACGUAUAACAAGUUCACCGGUCAUUUUCCCAAUAUACAUAACUUAACCCUUCUUUCUUAUAUAGACCUUUCUAAUAAUGACUUCUCUGGAACCAUUCCUUCUUAUCUAUUCACCAUGCCUUCCCUAUGGUAUAUUAAUCUGCGCCAAAACCAUCUUAGACACCCUCGUGAGGAUAUAAAUUCUUCUGAAACCUCGAAGCUUCAACAUUUAGACAUGGCCAAUAACCUUUUGAGCUGUCGAAUCCUAGAACCAGGGCCGGGCCUGAGCACAGGCUCAUCAAGCAUUAGCUUGAGGGUCGAUAGUGUUAAAAAUAAUUUAGGGGCCAAUUACAUCAAAUGUCUGACUGUUCAGAUGUCAAAAUUUGGUUGCCAAUAACUUAGGGGGCCGAGUUCGAAACGCAUACACAACGAAUUCGCAACAAUUUUUUUUAGAAAAAGUUGUUAUAGGGCCAAAUAAAUUUUAGUUGCUUCUGCACCUACAUAUGUCAGGCCCGGCCCUGCCUAGAACCUAUCUCAAAGUUAGCCAAGCUCACAGAACUCGACCUAUCUUUUCAGAACACACCCGACACAAUCAACUUCGACUCCUUGCCUUUCAAGUCUCUAGAGUCUCUAGAUCUUUCCGGGAAUGUUAUAACGAGGCUUAAUAUCGGUUCGAAAAAUUUGCAGGAGCUUACCUUGUCGAGCUGCAACAUCACCGAGUUCCCCACGUUUAUUAAGACCUUACGGAGCUUGCAGAAAUUAGACCUUUCCAAAAAUAGAAUUGUAGGAAAAGCGCCUUCCUUGCGCUACAAUUCUCUACUUUCCGAGCUGGAUUUGAGUUCAAACGCCUUUCAUGGAUCGUUCCCAAUGAUUCCACCCACCAUGCAGAUCAUUUACGCAUCGAAUAAUUAUUUCACAGGAGACAUAUCUCUUUCAUUGUGCAAUGCAAGUGGACUUGGUCGCCUUGAUCUGUCGAACAACAAUUUCAGUGGUUCCAUUCCCCGUUGCUUGAUAGGCAAGUCACUGGGAACGUUGAAACUACAUAACAAUAACCUUAUUGGUACACUUCCCUACAUAGAAAAAAGUGGGUUACAAAUACUCGACGUUGGUCACAAUCAAAUCAGUGGGAAGCUCCCGAGGUCUCUAGUCAACUGCACAAGCCUGAUGUUUCUAAACGUGGAGAACAAUAGAAUCAAUGACACCUUCCCUUUCUGGCUGAAGGCAUUGCCGGAUCUGCAAAUCAUUGUUCUGAGAUCAAACAUAUUCCACGGUCUCAUUUCUUCUCCUAGAAGUCAUCAUCCAUUUCCGGCGCUGCGGAUACUUGACAUAUCCCAUAACAACUUUUACGGGAGUUUGCCAGGAAAUUACUUUGCUAAUUGGAGUUCACCUUUGCUUAAGAUCCCUCGAGCUGAUUACCCCUGGCUAAAGUACACAGGAGAACAGCACUCUACUUAUACCCCGGAGUUCCAGUGGCGGAGCCACGUUAUGUAACAAGGGGGCAACUGCCCCCAGUACUUUUUCAAAAUCCUGUGUAAAACAUGAGUAAUUUUAGUUAUGCCCCUGUGUUUAUAGCAAAUUUAUCCCUAAAUCUAUAAGUAAUUUUAGCUAUGCCCCCAACAAAAUAUUUCUCUACAUCCGCCCCUGCCGGAGUAUUACCCUUCCAUUUAUAUGAGAAACAAAGGAUUAAAUAUGGAGCUGGGAAAGAUCCCAGAGGCAUUCACAGCCAUUGCUAUCUCUGGGAACAGGCUUGGAGGGGAGAUUCCAGAAUCCAUAGGUCUCUUGAAGUCGUUGAUCAUGUUGGACUUAUCUAAUUAACAACAGUUUCACAGGUCAUCUUCCAUCGUCUUUGGCCAACCUCAAACAACUUGAGUCGCUUGAUCUUUCUCAAAACCAACUUUCUGGAGAAAUUCCUGAGGAGCUAAGAGUCCUCACCUUCUUGGCCUACCUUAACGUUUCGCAUAACAAACUCACUGGCCAAAUACCGCAGAGUACACAGAUUGUAGGGCAACCUAAAGCCUCCUUUGAAGGGAAUAUCGGUCUUUGUGGUCUUCCUCUUCAAGAAUCUUGCUUCAGGGACAAUGUACCAACAUCAAUACCACAGACGCCAGAAAAAGUGUUGAACUGGAAAGCAGCAACAAUAGGCUAUGGACCCGGAGUGUUGUUUGGACUAGCGAUCGGACAAGCCCUUGGUUUAUACAAACCAGUGUUGUUCUAUAAGUUGUUUCGCCUUUGAGAUGAAUCAUCUCUUUCUUUCUUUUUUUGUCAAAAGCUAUAUGUAAAACUAGUAGUUUCCUCUCUUGCCUUUAAUAAACGAACAACACAACUUUUUUUUUCUCAGCUAUAUAUUUUUGUGGAAGAAGUUUGGAAGUGACCUGUCAAGGGUAGAUUUCUUUAACCGGUGUUAUUCUAUAAGGGUGUAUUUUGUGUCGUAUCUUCAACAUGCACCUCUACUAAUUUGCAAGGUGGCGUUCAAACAAAGAGCUGCUGAGGGUUCAAUGGCUACCUGGAUCAUCAAAAUCAAUUUUAAAAUAUUGAAUUACUGAAUUUAGACAUUUGAUUUGAUCAACUGUUUUGGCAACUAAAAAAUAUAGUUAUGAUGUUAGGUACAUAAAACACCGUACAUAUUAUCAUAUUAAUCAUAAAAUUUGUGUAAGUAAUAAAAUAAUAAAUGAUAUAUUGAUAUUGUACAAUAAUGAAUGUGUAGAUGCGUGAUCAUCUGAUGGCGUUAGGUUAGUAUACAAUCAUCAUUUACUUUAUUCUAUCAUCAACUGGGCUCAUAUACCUUCCUAAACUAACAAAGUAACAGGAAACUAAAACUGGAUUUGGCUUUGCUUUAACAAUAACUUUAAAUCCAUUUGGUUUUACUUUAACAUAGUAAACUAUUAUCUAUUUGGCCUGGACCUGUGUCUUUUGCUCCGCAAAACCAUCUACAGUUCAGCAGUUUUCAGCUUUUAUAUAUUAAAAAAAAUACAAAUCCAAUAAUAAACCAUGAUGUUGCUGUAGCAAGUUGCUACAAAUUAAGCAAACUUUGACUUUUUCACUUUAUUCUCAUUCUGCUUUUGUUUUGGUAAACAAACUAUAAAAGGCAGAACCUCAUCACAAUCUCUCAACACACAGAACUUCAAACAUCAAUCAAAGCCUUAUACUCUCUUCUCAAAAGAAAAAAAUCAAAUGGAUGACAUAUCAGUGAGCAAAAGCAACAAUGGAAAUGUUGUUGUACUCAACAUCCAAGCUCCUCCAGCUGUUUCAAAAACUCAACUUCCUUCUUCUCCUCCCACAUCUCCACCAUUGUUAUCUGUCCACUUCAUGCAAAAGGUUAGUUAUUCUUUUACAAUCCAUUGAUGAAAAACUUCUUCAUCUUCUCCCUACACUUUUCUCAAGUUUUCUUGUUCAUCUCAAUCUGCAGCUUAUAGCGGAACUCGUGGGAACUUACUACUUGAUAUUUGCGGGCUGUGCGGCUAUUGCCGUGAACGCUCAACACAACAAUGUAGUGACUCUUGUGGGCAUUGCGGUGGUUUGGGGUCUAGUGGUGAUGGUUCUUGUUUACUCUCUAGGCCACAUCUCUGCACACUUCAAUCCGGCUGUCACUAUCGCCUUAGCUUCUUGCAAGAGAUUCCCUCUGUAUCAACUCCCAGCCUACUUAAUUGUUCAAGUCAUUGGAUCAACCUUGGCUUCUGCGACUCUGCGUCUUUUGUUUGACCUAAACAAUGACGUGUGCAGCAAGAAACACGAUGUCUUCCUCGGAUCAUCUCCUUCUGGGACUGACCUUCAAGCAUUCGGGAUGGAGUUCAUCAUCACCGGCUUCCUUAUGAUAGUUGUUUGUGCCGUCACUACCUCCAAGAGAACA
rnacentral:lncRNA from 1 species